rnacentral:lncRNA from 1 species
GAGGCUCAGUUAGGUGGGCUGUGUUUAGAAUCAAGGUCUGUUUGGUCUGCAGACAAGUAAGUACUAUUUUACUAUAGCAUAGCAUUCUUCAAAGACAGGCACAACCAACCAGACAGCUCAGAUUCUCCAGUGAUAUGUCACCUGCUUUCGUUUUCCACCAUGGACCGUGUCCUGCAGCUGUGGCAUGCUUGGUCUCAGCCACACUGCAUUGUCUGUUUCGUUGGUCCUUCCUUUGGGUCUGUGACUUGACCUUCCUGUUCAAUAAGAUGGUGCCUUCUUUGCCCAGCAUGCUGGGGUCGAUAGCAUGUUAGGCAUGAUUAAUGCUCCCUGAAGGGCAGGUCAUGGUCACCUGACCAGGAAGGAGCUUGUCCUCAUCCACCCCUUCUUCCCCACAGUGGCAUGCACAUUCAGCUGUGUGAUGAAGUUCACUGUUAAGGACUGUGACCCCAACACUGGAGAAAUCGAUGAAGAAGGCUAUGAGGAUGAGUAUGUGCUGGAGGAUCUAGAAGUUACUGUAGCUGAUCACAUCCAGAAAGUCAUGAAAGUGAACUUUGAAGCAGCCUGGGAUGAGGUGGGAGAUGAGUUUGAGAAGGAGGAAACAUUCACCCUGUCUACUAUCAAAACACUUGAAGAGGCUGUGGGCAAUAUUGUGAAGUUUUUGGGAAUGCAUCCUUGUGAAAGGUCAGACAAAGUGCCAGAAAACAAGAACACUCACACGCUGCUGCUAGCUGGUAAGAAACGUCUGUGGCUGGAGGAACUUUACGGUGGGAAUGCCACUGGGUUCCCCCACAGGAACGCCUGAGUGUUCUAAUAGUCCUGGCAAGCCCUUGUCCUUUAUCCUAUGGGAUUGGCUGCCGAGGGUGUGGCAUGAUGGCUCAGCAUUCCUCUGUGGUGCUGGUCAUCUGAAAGCAGCAGGUCUGUGAUCGAAUGCUGGGGAUCCAAGUACCAUUUCCCGAGUCCC